CCUACGGGAGGCAGCAGUGAGGAAUAUUGGUCAAUGGACGAGAGUCUGAACCAGCCAAGUAGCGUGAAGGAUGACUGCCCUCUGGGUUGUAAACUUCUUUUAUAUGGGAAUAAAAUGUUCCACGUGUGGGAUUUAGUAUGUACCAUAUGAAUAAGGAUCGGCUAACUCCGUGCAAGCAGCCGCGGUAAUACGGAGGAUCCGAGCGUUAUCCGGAUUUGUUGGGGUUAAAGGGAGCGUAGAUGGGUUGUUAAGUCAGUUGCGAAAGUUUGCGGCUCAACCGUAACAGUGCAAUUGAUACUGGCAGUCUUGAGUACAGUUGAGGUAGGCGGAAUUCGUGGUGUAGCGGUGAAAUGCUUAGAUAUCACGAAGAACUCCGAUUGCGAAGGCAGCUGACUAAACUGCCACUGACAUUGAUGCUCGAAAGUGUGGGUAUCAAACAGGAUUAGAUACCCCGGUAGUC
rnacentral:rRNA from 1 species